rnacentral:lncRNA from 1 species
UCUGUUAGUUAAAACAGAGUUAAUUAGCCCAACUUUCCCACGAGCAUGCCUGGAAAAGUAUAAGUUUACACCUUGGUGGUUGAGGCUGUGCUGUAUAACAAAAACAAAACCCAGCACAAGAAUUACACAAGAGUACAGUCAUAUUUGUAUAUUUCAAAACAAGCACAGCCACACCUUUGAUUAUUUAAUCUGUGACUUUCUCAUCCGCAGAAUCCACCUCUCAGUGUAUUUCCGACCUGUGCCAGAGCAGGGGGAGGGGGGCUGAAUCAAGCUUUCAACAGGUUUUCCCUUUGGGUUUUAUUCAGCACUGGGGUUUGAGGUUGACCACACUUCCAGUGACAUUUUGGCACAGAACAACAGCACAGGGUCCAGAGCGGAGUUCUACUAAUACCCGAAACCAGCCCUAAGAUUUAGUGUUCAUAUUUUUUUUAUGCAUAUUUUUGGGCAAACUUUCAAAGAGUUCCAGGGCAGGACGAGCUGCUUGGCAACAGACUCAGUUUAAACAGUCAGGAUCACAUGGAUGACUGCCAAAACCAACUGAGUGUUACCUGCUCGGGAUCCUGGUCCAAACAAAAACAACUCUGCAGUUCUAGACAGCGGGAUGUCAUAACGUGGCUAAAGCCAGACUGGGGAAUCCCUCAGGGAAGGGUGGAGGGGUUAUGAAUGAAGGUCACAACCUUGAUGGGAAUGACAUCACUGAGAACAGAGAGGUACAGCUUCCAGAUAUUGUGAGUAAGUUUGUAGUCACACAAACACUUUCAUAUGUCACACCUGAACAACAGCACAGCCACUCUUUG